rnacentral:tRNA from 1 species
AGAGAUGUAGCUCAGUGGUAAGAGUGCUUGCCUCGCAUGCAUGAGGCCCUGGGUUCAAUUCCCCGUGUUGCAA